rnacentral:piRNA from 1 species
UAAGUGAAUCUACAAUAUCCAACACUUC